rnacentral:piRNA from 1 species
GGGAACAAAACACUUCAAAGAGUAGU